rnacentral:rRNA from 1 species
AGCAGAGGAACCCCAUCAAACUUGGAUUUUGUAAGUAGUUGCGAAUGAACACAAAUUUGAUCACUUUGGCAAUCUGUACACAUUGCUGUGUAACAAUUUGUAUACGUUGGCACAGUGCUAUCAAAGCUGCAUGCAAGUGUUUUUUGAAAGGAUACAACAUGGGAUGUGAUAUUCAUGUGUGUGUGCCUGCUUUGUCCACAGCCUGUGCUGUAUGAAUCACAUUUCUUGCAACUGAAAUGCUAAUGGCAUGGUAAAGUUCAUGUGACAUGACACAAGCUUGAGAUUCAUGAUGUGCAAGUACCAUGAGGGAAAUGUGAAAAGGACUUUGGAAAGAGAAUUAAAUAAAGCCUGCAUUUGCUGACAAUGAAAGCAAGUGUGGAUGUUCAUGUAAUUGUUACUGCAUCAAUCAAUGUUCAUCUUGGUUACUGCAUGCUUUAUAUUACAGCUCAGAACAUGAAGUGUGUGUAACAGCUCUGCUUUGAUUUUUCCCACAUGGGAUCAGUUGAAACAUUGUGAGAGCACUCUUCAGUUUCCUUAUGUACCCACCAGCUUUGUCCACUCGCGUGUUGGCACACAUGUAAUGAUGAUGUGUUUAUGCAAGAUACUUCUGUGCUCAACAACAUGUUGUGUCAAUCCUCACUUGACC